rnacentral:rRNA from 1 species
AAUCAACGCUGGCGGCGUGCCUAACACAUGCAAGUCGAACGAGAAAGUGGUAGCAAUACCAUGAGUAAAGUGGCGCACGGGUGAGUAACACGUGACUAACCUACCCUUGAGUGGGGGAUAACUGAGGGAAACCUUAGCUAAUACCGCAUAAUACCCACGGGUCAAAGGAGCAAUUCGCUCGAGGAGGGGGUCGCGGCCGAUUAGUUAGUUGGCGGGGUAAUGGCCCACCAAGACGAUGAUCGGUAUCCGGCCUGAGAGGGCGCACGGACACACUGGAACUGAAACACGGUCCAGACUCCUACGGGAGGCAGCAGUGGGGAAUUUUGCGCAAUGGGGGAAACCCUGACGCAGCAACGCCGCGUGGAGGAUGAAGUCCUUCGGGACGUAAACUCCUUUCGAUCGGGACGAUAAUGACGGUACCGGAAGAAGAAGCCCCGGCUAACUUCGUGCCAGCAGCCGCGGUAAUACGAGGGGGGCGAGCGUUGUUCGGAAUUAUUGGGCGUAAAGGGUGCGUAGGCGGUUUGGUAAGUCUCGUGUGAAAUCUCUGGGCUCAACUCAGAGUCUGCACGAGAAACUGCCGGGCUUGAGUGUGGGAGAGGUGAGUGGAAUUUCCGGUGUAGCGGUGAAAUGCGUAGAUAUCGGAAGGAACACCUGUGGCGAAAGCGGCUCACUGGACCACAACUGACGCUGAUGCACGAAAGCUAGGGGAGCAAACAGGAUUAGAUACCCUGGUAGUCCUAGCCCUAAACGAUGACUGCUUGGUGUGACGGGUACCCAAUCCCGCCGUGCCGUAGCUAACGCGUUAAGCAGUCCGCCUGGGGAGUACGGUCGCAAGGCUG